rfam:Triticum aestivum genome assembly, contig: Triticum_aestivum_CS42_TGACv1_scaffold_146888_2BS
CAUGUACUCCCUCCGUCGCAAAAUUCUUGUCUUACAUUUGUCUAAAUACGAAUGUAUCAAAUCAUGUUUUUUAUUAGAUACAUUCGUGUCUAGACAAAUCUAAGACAAGAAUUUUGGGACGGAGGGAGUAUGUC